rnacentral:rRNA from 1 species
GACGAACGCUGGCGGCGUGCUUAACACAUGCAAGUCGAACGAAGAGCGAUGGAAGCUUGCUUCUAUCAAUCUUAGUGGCGAACGGGUGAGUAACGCGUAAUCAACCUGCCCUUCAGAGGGGGACAACAGUUGGAAACGACUGCUAAUACCGCAUACGAUCUAACCUCGGCAUCGAGGAUAGAUGAAAGGUGGCCUCUACAUGUAAGCUAUCACUGAAGGAGGGGAUUGCGUCUGAUUAGCUAGUUGGAGGGGUAACGGCCCACCAAGGCGAUGAUCAGUAGCCGGUCUGAGAGGAUGAACGGCCACAUUGGGACUGAGACACGGCCCAGACUCCUACGGGAGGCAGCAGUGGGGAAUCUUCCGCAAUGGACGAAAGUCUGACGGAGCAACGCCGCGUGAGUGAUGACGGCCGUCGGGUUGUAAAGCUCUGUUAAUCGGGACGAAAGGCCUUCUUGCGAAUAGUGAGAAGGAUUGACGGUACCGGAAGAGAAAGCCACGGCUAACUACGUG